rnacentral:lncRNA from 1 species
UUGUUUAUGCUAUGUGUUUUUGCAGGAGGCCUGAGGUGGGCUGGGUUCUCCUCCUAUGGCAGGGCUUCACUCUCCUCCUCCUUCUCUGUUGGGGCUUCACUGUCCCUGGGAUAAGAAUAACAAUGCCAAGGUUUUCAUUCUUGAAAGGAGCAAUUAAGCGUCUCACCCCCUCCUCAUUUUAGAUGGGAACUGUGAGGGUCCCGUCAUUUACCCAGGGUCCCUGUUGAGGAUCUUGUCCUCAUUAGAUGACUUCUUGUGCAGCUUCCAUGCGUGAUUCUUUACUCUUGUGGCACUGAGAGGUUUGUACAUGUCUUUAAGCCAGAGCGGCUUUCUGAAUGAAAAAAGUCCAUCCUAGAAGAUAGAAAGGGAAAUAUUAAUUUUGCAUGUCCUCUGCUUUCCCUGGUCACAGCAAUGAAUCCUCCAAUGUACCUGACUCUCCCUUUGCGAAGAGCAUCUCCGUGGCAGAAAUCUGAAAAUGCCCCUGGGGAGACACAUGCACAAGACAGUGAGUGAUGCAGCCGUUUCCCACGUAUCUCACAAUGUACUUCUCUGGUCUUAUUAGAACUAAAUGAGUAUCUCAGUCCAUAAUCACAGGGAGAAGAACCACCACAGACCACAUACCUGGGGUCUUGAAAAUAAUUCCAUGCAUGUGGGACUUUCAGAAGCUCUCCAUGUCUGUCCAGAAGGGCCCCACAAUAUACUGGGGGGACUUUGUAUGUGGCUCAGCAUGGAGCAGGGGCAGGAUGUUCAUUCCCACUCAUCCCCUUGGCCAAGUGCCCUUGUGCAGUGAACAAACUGCACAACCAUGCUGGGCAGAAGCAUUUUAUAUCAGUCCCCUUCGGACUUAGUCUCACAGGCAUCAUUUGAUGGGGGGUGGGAGAUGAAGUGGUUCUUCCUUUUCUAGAUACUUUAUUCUAUAAGUUGGAUCACCUCAAGCAAAUGCCUGAGUGCAGCUAGCCAAGUUCUCUAUCUCACAGUCUUCAUACAGCUGGCUGUCGCUGAUGAGUGAGUGAGCUGCGAAAUCAGCUUAAACCACAACAUGUUAUUUUUGAAUUUGAAUAAAAUAGGAAAAGGCAGAGUGCAUUGUGUGACCAUGGGGUAAGACACUCUCCCUUUCUCCUUCUCAGUUUUCCUGUCAUAAAAGGACAAACUACUAUCUAAGUUCUCCGUAGUUAAAAUUCUUUUUUGUUGUUUUUUUUUAUUUGAGACAGUUUGGCUCGUUCCCCAGGCUGGAGUGCAAUGGUGCUAUCUUGGCUCCCUGCAACCUGCGCCUCCUGGUUUCAAGCAGUUCUCCUGCCUCAGCCUCCCAAAUAGCUGGGAUUACAUGCCUGUGCCACCACACCCAGCUAAUUUAGUAUUUUUAGUAGAGAUGGGGUUUCACCAUGUUGGUCAGGUUGGUCACGAGCUCCUAACCUCAAGUGAUCCCAAAGUGCUGUGAUUACAGGCGUGAGCCAUCCUGCCUGGCCUUUCUGGUUAAAAUUCUGUGAGGUUUGUGUAAAAGGAAUAGAGUGGGGGCGCAAAAACCAGUAAGAUGAGAAAAUAGUGUUUCCUCAGUUCUAGUAUCCAGGGGAAAAAAAGAAAAGAGAAAAUACUGUUUCCUGCCACUUAAGAGGAAGGACUCACAUAUCCUACCUUCCAUCAGCCUUGAAGGAGACAAGUGCCCUCUCUCUCACACCCGGUGGCCUUCCCUUCCCCUUUCCCAGAGCCUCCAAGAAGGCCCCUGGCCUGGCCUGAUGCCCACCAUCAGCAGCAAUAGGCACCAAAACCUUUCUCCUUCCUAUCCCUCCCCACCUCCCAAAAGGGCUGGGGACAGCAGGUGUAUCCUUGUUAGUUCCAUCAUGAGACAGCACAUUCCUACAAUGUCGUACAGAUGUAAAUUCUCAAAUUAAUCUACAAAUUUAACGUAAUCCUAUUCAAAUCCCAAGAUAGUUUUUGGUGGUGGCUGUUUUUAAGACAGGGCCUCGCUGUGUUGCCCAGGCUAGAGUGCAGUGGUACGACCACAGCUCACUGCAUCCUCGACCUCCCAGGCUCAAGCGAUCCUCCCACUUCAGCCUCUGAAGUCUCUCAUAUGGUGUCCAAGAAAUGGUGACAAAUCUC